CGGAAUUACUGGGCGUAAAGAGCUCGUAGGUGGUUUGUCGCGUUGUUCGUGAAAUCUCACGGCUUAACUGUGAGCGUGCGGGCGAUACGGGCAGACUUGAGUACUGCAGGGGAGACUGGAAUUCCUGGUGUAGCGGUGGAAUGCGCAGAUAUCAGGAGGAACACCGGUGGCGAAGGCGGGUCUCUGGGCAGUAACUGACGCUGAGGAGCGAAAGCGUGGGGAGCGAACAGGAUUAGAUACCCUGGUAGUCCACGCCGUAAACGGUGGGUACUAGGUGUGGGUUUCCUUCCUUGGGAUCCGUGCCGUAGCUAACGCAUUAAGUACCCCGCCUGGGGAGUACGGCCGCAAGGCUAAAACUCAAAGAAAUUGACGGGGGCCCGCACAAGCGGCGGAGCAUGUGGAUUAAUUCGAUGCAACGCGAAGAACCUUACCUGGGUUUGACAUGCACAGGACGCCGGCAGAGAUGUCGGUUCCCUUGUGGCCUGUGUGCAGGUGGUGCAUGGCUGUCGUCAGCUCGUGUCGUGAGAUGUUGGGUUAAGUCCCGCAACGAGCGCAACCCUUGUCUCAUGUUGCCAGCGGGUAAUGCCGGGGACUCGUGAGAGACUGCCGGGGUCAACUCGGAGGAAGGUGGGGAUGACGUCAAGUCAUCAUGCCCCUUAUGUCCAGGGCUUCACACAUGCUACAAUGGCCGGUACAAAGGGCUGCGAUGCCGCGAGGUUAAGCGAAUCCUUUUAAAGCCGGUCUCAGUUCGGAUCGGGGUCUGCAACUCGACCCCGUGAAGUCGGAGUCGCUAGUAAUCGCAGA
rnacentral:rRNA from 1 species